rnacentral:rRNA from 1 species
UACGAAGGGGGCUAGCGUUGCUCAGAAUCACUGGGCGUAAAGGGCGCGUAGGCGGGUCUUUAAGUCAGGGGUGAAAUCCUGGAGCUCAACUCCAGAACUGCCUUUGAUACUGAAGAUCUUGAGUUCGGGAGAGGUGAGUGGAACUGCGAGUGUAGAGGUGAAAUUCGUAGAUAUUCGCAAGAACACCAGUGGCGAAGGCGGCUCACUGGCCCGAUACUGACGCUGAGGCACGAAAGCGUGGGGAGCAAACAGG